rnacentral:rRNA from 1 species
AUACGUAGGUGGCCAGCGUUAUCCGGAAUUAUUGGGCGUAAAGAGUGAGCAGGCGGUUAAUUAAGUCUGAGGUUAAAGCGUGGGGCUCAACCCCAUAAAGCCUUGGAAACUGAUUGACUAGAGUACGGGAGAAGUGAAGGGAACUCCAUGUGUAGCGGUGAAAUGCGUAGAUAUAUGGAAGAACACCAGUGGCGAAGGCGCUUCACUAGCCCGAAACUGACGCUCAGUCACGAAAGCGUGGGUAGCAAAUAGGAUUAGAUACCCUAGUAGUCCACGCUGUAAACGAUGACAACUAAAUAUUGCCGCGAGGCAGUGUUGAAGCUAACGCAUUAAGUUGUCCGCCUGGGGAGUACGGUCGCAAGACUGAAACUUAAAGGAAUUGACGGGG